UAUUGGAAAGGCCGGACUGUGGCUUGGGGCAGCGUGCACAGCCUCAGGCUCCUUAGGCUUUGUGACCUUGCGCGGGUUGCCUCACCCCCGUGAACUUCUCCGCUGACAAACCUGCAAAGUGGGAUGCUGAAGUGCAAGCUGGUGCUAAACCGUAAAGCUCGUGCCCCUCCCGCACAGGCCUUCAAUAGAUGGCCUCUGUUUCGUUUGCUGGCUCCGGAUAGACUUGAGACCUGGUGGCCAAGCCGCUGGCAUCCCCAGUGAGCCAGCUUCUCUGUCUAAUCUGAGAAGAAGCGAGGCUGGAAUUCCUGGUGGAAGGUUCUCCAGGUUCCCUUUGUCGAAGGACAGAUUUACCCUGACCGCAGCUACUAUAGGAGAAUCUGAAACAUGUGCCAGUGUCUUGGCCCGAAAGUGAAGGGUGGGGGGGGGGCUCCCCAAAUGGCCUUCACGUUGGGCUUUUUCUUCCUCCGGCACUGGGGAUGCCAGGCCCUGAGCCCACAGCGCUAGCUGUAAACCAGAGCCCCGGAUGUGAUGAGUGCGCAGAUUUUGGUGUUCGUGCCCCUAAAUAGCCUUCUGAGAGCGAGCGGGGGUCCUGAAGACACCCUAAUGUCUAAGCCUAGUGCGACUCCGUUAGGUGAGGAGGUUUUCACUGCCCUUAAGAGUUUCGGGAAGGGAAGGUGAAGUGUACGUCGAGGAAAUCGGGGAGGACGAGCUCUCCCUUCUUUCUUCCUUGCACCGCCCCGUAAGCGUGGUGGAGGGUGGUCCUGCCAGGAGAGCAUCCUCCAGGAAGCCUCCUAGGAAGGAAGGCCCCCGGGCCUCCUAUCGGGUGUCCUGAAGCAGCAUCUGCCUUUCCAGAGCCCCCUGCUCCCUCCUCCCCCCAUUGCUAUGCACCCUGAAGCUUGUGAAACCCUGGUGUAGCUGGUGGGGUGACCUGGCUCCAGGUGACGUGGUAGCAUUGCCAGUUCCCGGAGAGACCAAGUCCCCAGAGCCAGCCAGAGGCUGGGGCGGUGGUGAGAUGGCAACUCUUUCCUGUGCGUGAGCACUGUCGGCAGGCUGCUUCAGAGCGCGCUGAAAACUCGGUCACUGGGCAGCCUGGAUGAGCAGCAUGACCACGGGAGCCUUCGCUUAAAGGAAACCUGAGAUCCCACGCUGUUACCACACCUGCCGGUGCACGUGGCUGGAUGUGGGAGCCCCUCAGUUGGGAAGUUUACAUUGCCUCAGUCCCAGCAGACGGCACUAAGGAUAGCUGUUCUUCUGGUGGAGAGAACAUAUGAUUGGUCAGCUAUACAUCUGGAUCCGUCUCUGGUCCAACCAGUGAUCACUGAUGAGGUAGCUCUUCAGCAGUUCGAACGAGAGAGGCCAGGCUGCCAAGGCGUACUGAGCAUGUGUCGCGCCCUCAGGGAUUUAUGCAUCUGUAGAAUAUUACCACCAAAGGCAAGUGAAGACAUGAUCUCCAAACCCAGCUUUUUCAGGUAUCCUGGCAUCGGCAGAGUUCUCUUCCCCUCGUCUUUGGGAAGUUUCGCAAGCUGGGCCCGUCCUGUGUGUAGCCAACAAUGAUGUUUUGUGUCUUCAUCCCGUUUGAAGGGCCUGGCACACAAACAGCCCAGCCUAUUCAUUCCUAGAGCAAUUUUACAUAUGCAAGACCGAAGCCAAGAUGAAUGUCUUCAUCCUCGACGUGCUCAUUCAGACACGUUCUGAUUUUGCAGUGUGCUUGCAAGGAGCCCCUUAUUCAAGCAGACCAAGAAAACGUGAGACUUUCUACACGUGUAUUCACUUCACAGCCAACAUGUCAAUGUAUGGAUGGUUUUAUUUCUGGUGACCAGCAAAAUAGAUGAAAGGAAGAACGGUGAUUAUCAGAAGGCAAGCCAGUGAUUGUUAAAAGCCACCUGUGUUUGUGUGUCCACCACCGUGCUGAAAGAUCGUUCUGGAGGCUGGACGUCCCAGAUCACAGGCCCAGUACAUUCAGUACUGGGUGAAGACCCGCUUCUUGGUUCAAGGACGUCUGUCUUCUCACUGCGCCCUCACGGAGGAAGCAUGAAAACGAAACAGCUGUUUUAAACAGUGAGUAUUCAUUAAUUCACUUUUCACUUACUUAUUUUGUAAUGUGUAUUUGCUAAGCAGCUACUAUGUACCAAGGAUUGGAUUAAGCGUUGGGGAUAAAAGAGUGAGCAAAACCAAACACCCAAACAGCCUGUUUUCUGCCUCAUGGAAUGUGUAGCCUCUUGGUGAAGACCGAGGUUAAGGAAAUGAUUUUUAAAAUGUAAAUUGUGUAUCUAUUACCUGGCAAGAUGGAAUAACUCAUGUGGCAUGCAUUUGGGAAUCAGUACAACAUUUUUGAUGGAAGUAACAUUGAACUGAGAUCAGAAGGAGUUGAGGGAAAUUUUCUAUGUCAGGACAAAGUCACCCAAGCCAGUUCCUGAAACACUCUUGGGGGAAUUGCAGCUCUGUGGUUCUCUGCUACAUGGUGGGCGUCACCCCAGGACUGAGAUCUCCGUGCCCAUCACAUCACACUUUCUCUGCUCAUUGUCUUAAGAGAAAACUUUAGGGGCGCCUGAGUGGCUCAGUUGGUUAAGCGUUUGACUCU